GCCAGGUGUGGUGGUACACACCUGUAAUCCUAGCAACUCAGGAGGCUGAGGCAGGAGGACCACAAGUCAGAGGCCAGCCUGGGAAACUUGGUGAGGAGACCCUGUCUCAA
rnacentral:sRNA from 1 species